rnacentral:ncRNA from 1 species
CUCCUCAAAUCCCAAGAAGUCGACUGAACUGCAAGUACAGUACAACGCUGGAGAACCAGGCGCGAAACUUAUCAAAUCUUGAAGAGAUGAGAUAGUGACUAAAAAUAAGAAGACCAUUCCUAUAUAACGGUCAUUCCAAUGAGUUGAUCAUGAACCUUUUUUCGUGGAUCCAGUUGAGGGCAGGUCUGGUGCCAACAGCCGCGGUAAUUCCAGCUCCACUAGUGUAAAUCGUCAUUGCUGCGGUUAAAAAGCUCGUCGUUGGAUCUGAGUCACAUGCAGUGGUUCACCUUUAGUGUUAAUCGCUGUUGUGACUAUUUGCUGGUUUUCUACUGAGGCUUUGGCUCCUUUAGUGGCUAGCGAGUUUACUUUGAAUAAAUUAGAGUGCUCAGAACAAGCGUUUGCUUGAAUGGU